AUGAACGGCCGGACGCGCAUGCGCCCGCCCAUGCCGCGCGACUACUUCGGCAACGUGGUCCUGUGGGCGUUCCCGCGCACGGACGCCGGCGACCUCAUGUCCCGGCCGGUGGGCCACGCGGCGGAGCUCGUCUACCGCGCCGUGGCGGACGUGGACAACGCCUACUUCCGGUCCUUCGUGGACCUUGCCUCCUCCGGCGUUGUGGAGGCUGAGGGGCUGGUCUCAACGGCGGACAGCGAGCAGGCGGUGCUGUGCCCGGACCUGGAGGUGGACGCGUGGCUGGGGAUCAACUUCCACGGCCUGAAUUUCGGCGGCGGCGGGCCCUUCCGCGUCAUGCCGACGUACUACCCCAUGGAGGGCAGCCUGUUCCUGGUGCCGUCCACCCUGGGCGACGGCAGCAUGGAGGCCUACGUGGCCCUCUUCGACGACCACCUUGCGGAGUUCAAGAGGAUAUGCCACAAGAUCGAUUAG
rnacentral:rRNA from 1 species